rnacentral:tRNA from 1 species
GGGCCUAUAGCUCAGUUGGUUAGAGCAGGGGACUCAUAAUCCCUUGGUCGGGGGUUCAAGUCCCUCUGGGCCUACCA